AGUGAACGCUGGCGGUAGGCCUAACACAUGCAAGUCGAACGGCAGCACAGUAAGAGCUUGUUCUUACGGGUGGCGAGUGGCGGACGGGUGAGGAAUACAUCGGAAUCUACUUUUUCGUGGGGGAUAACGUAGGGAAACUUACGCUAAUACCGCAUACGACCUACGGGUGAAAGCAGGGGAUCUUCGGACCUUGCGCGAUUGAAUGAGCCGAUGUCGGAUUAGCUAGUUGGCGGGGUAAAGGCCCACCAAGGCGACGAUCCGUAGCUGGUCUGAGAGGAUGAUCAGCCACACUGGAACUGAGACACGGUCCAGACUCCUACGGGAGGCAGCAGGGGGGAAUAUUGGACAAUGGGCGCAAGCCUGAUCCAGCCAUACCGCGUGGGUGAAGAAGGCCUUCGGGUUGUAAAGCCCUUUUGUUGGGAAAGAAAAGCAGCAGGUUAAUACCCCGCUGUUCUGACGGUACCCAAAGAAUAAGCACCGGCUAACUUCGUG
rnacentral:rRNA from 1 species